rnacentral:rRNA from 1 species
GGGGAUCGCAAGACCUUGCGCUGAUGGAGCGGCCGAUGUCAGAUUAGCUAGUUGGUGGGGUAAAGGCUCACCAAGGCGACGAUCUGUAGCGGGUCUUAGAGGAUGAUCCGCCACACUGGAACUGAGACACGGUCCAGACUCCUACGGGAGGCAGCAGUGGGGAAUUUUGGACAAUGGGCGCAAGCCUGAUCCAGCCAUGCCGCGUGAGUGAAGAAGGCCUUCGGGUUGUAAAGCUCUUUCGGCCGGGAAAAAAUCGCUUGGGUUAAUACCCUUAGUGGAUGAUGGUACCGGAAUAAGAAGCACCGGCUAACUACGUGCCAGCAGCCGCGGUAAUACGUAGGGUGCGAGCGUUAAUCGGAAUUACUGGGCGUAAAGCGUGCGCAGGCGGUCUUGUAAGACAGGCG